rnacentral:rRNA from 1 species
CUACGUGCCAGCAGCCGCGGUAAUACGGAAGGUCCAGGCGUUAUCCGGAUUUAUUGGGUUUAAAGGGAGCGUAGGCUGGAGAUUAAGUGUGUUGUGAAAUGUAGACGCUCAACGUCUGAAUUGCAGCGCAUACUGGUUUCCUUGAGUACGCACAACGUUGGCGGAAUUCGUCGUGUAGCGGUGAAAUGCUUAGAUAUGACGAAGAACUCCGAUUGCGAAGGCAGCUGACGGGAGCGCAACUGACGCUUAAGCUCGAAGGUGCGGGUAUCAAACAGGAUUAGAUACCCUGGUAGUCCGCACAGUAAACGAUGGAUGCCCGCUGUUGGUGCCUGGUAUCAGCGGCUAAGCGAAAGCAUUAAGCAUCCCACCUGGGGAGUACGCCGGCAACGGUGAAACUCAAAGGAAUUGACGGGGGCCCGCACAAGCGGAGGAACAUGUGGUUUAAUUCGAUGAUACGCGAGGAACCUUACCCGGGCUUGAAUUGCAGAGGAAGGAUUUAGAGAUA